AACACAUGCAAGUCGAACGGCAGCACAGAGGAGCUUGCUCCUUGGGUGGCGAGUGGCGGACGGGUGAGGAAUACAUCGGAAUCUACUCUGUCGUGGGGGAUAACGUAGGGAAACUUACGCUAAUACCGCAUACGACCUACGGGUGAAAGCAGGGGAUCUUCGGACCUUGCGCGAUUGAAUGAGCCGAUGUCGGAUUAGCUAGUUGGCGGGGUAAAGGCCCACCAAGGCGACGAUCCGUAGCUGGUCUGAGAGGAUGAUCAGCCACACUGGAACUGAGACACGGUCCAGACUCCUACGGGAGGCAGCAGUGGGGAAUAUUGGACAAUGGGCGCAAGCCUGAUCCAGCCAUACCGCGUGGGUGAAGAAGGCCUUCGGGUUGUAAAGCCCUUUUGUUGGGAAAGAAAUCCAGCUGGCUAAUACCCGGUUGGGAUGACGGUACCCAAAGAAUAAGCACCGGCUAACUUCGUGCCAGCAGCCGCGGUAAUACGAAGGGUGCAAGCGUUACUCGGAAUUACUGGGCGUAAAGCGUGCGUAGGUGGUCGUUUAAGUCCGUUGUGAAAGNCCUGGGCUCAACCCUGGGAACUGCAGUGGAUACUGGACGAUUAGGAGUGUGGUAGAGG
rnacentral:rRNA from 1 species